GAUGCAUUUGUGUGGGAGGUCUGUUGUGAGCACGGGUGCGAGACGUGCACAUCUGAGAAACUCAUACAACAGCAGGGCUGUGCGCAUGAAGUGGCUCAGGGCAGCAGGCCACGAUCCCCACUCACAUCUGCGUGGUGCUGACAAACCCAUUAGUGGCAGUGUGACGCUGCUGGGAGUCCUGGAGGUUGCCGACGGCCACGUCUGGUGCAGGACAGAGCUACUGGAGCACAUCCUUGCACACGAUGCAGAGCAGCUCCGUGACCAUCGCCACCCCAGAGCUGGUGCAGGGAAUUACAAGGAGGUGGACGUGGUGCUUCUGCUUUGCUCACCUGCAGCUCGCCCUCCUGGACCACGCUCUGUGCUGUUGAACUCCACUCACCACCCUCCCCUGCUGCUAAUCUCUCUUCUCAGGCGUGGGUUUGAUCUCGGCGGCGAGCCGCCCGCCCGGCCGCUCUCUGUCUGCUCCUUCUCAGUGCAUUUAAAGCAGCCACUGGGAGCCAACCUUCCACCCCCGUGUGCCCACACGGAAGAAGAUAGGAGGAUUUGACGUCUAUUGAUGGAUGUGACUCCUGGAAGGCGUCUCUUAGCCGAAGGACCCGGAGCUUUCAGGUGAGUCCUUUUCUACAAGUAAACGCGUAAAUCUCCGAGCUGGGUUUGGGGCUGUAUGAGAGCGCUGAAAGCAGACUGCGACGGCAGUAAGGCUCUUCACACCGGCGGAUGCCACCAGGGCAGCAGGCAGGCUGAGGAGACGCUGCGGCUCCCGAG
ensembl:lncRNA